rnacentral:SRP_RNA from 10 species
GCCAGGCAUGGUGGUGCACCUGUAAUCCAAGCUACUUGAGAGGCAGAGUCAGGAUUGUUAGAGCUUAGGAGUUCUGGGCUGUGAUGCACUAUGCCAGUCGGAUGUCUGUACUCUUUGGCAUCAGUAUGGUGACCUCCCAGGAGCAGGGACCACCAGGUUGCCUAAGGAGGGGCGAACUGGCCCAGGUUGGAAAGGGAGCAGGUUAAUACUACUGUGCCGAUCAGUAGUGGCAUUGUGCUUGUGAUUAGCCACUGCACUUCAGCCUGGGAGACAUAGGAGAUCUUCAUC